ACGAACCGUGCGAACGUUAUUCGGAAUCACUGGGCUUAAAGCGCGUGUAGGCGGGCGGGAACGUCGGCGACUGAAAGCCCCCGGCUCAACCGGGGAAGUGGAGCCGAGACGGCCGGCCUGGAGGGGCGUAGGGGGACCUGGAACUUCCGGUGGAGCGGUGAAAUGCGUUGAGAUCGGAAGGAACGCCCGUGGCGAAAGCGAGGUCCUGGGCGCCAUCUGACGCUGAGACGCGAAAGCCAGGGGAGCGAACGGGA
rnacentral:rRNA from 1 species